rnacentral:rRNA from 1 species
GAUGAACGCUAGCGGCAGGCUUAAUACAUGCAAGUCGUGGGGCAGCAUGAGUAGCAAUACUUGAUGGCGACCGGCAAACGGGUGAGGAACACGUACACAACCUUCCUUCAAGCGGGGAAUAGCCCAGAGAAAUUUGGAUUAAUACCCCAUAAUAUAUUUGAUAAGGCAUCUUAUUAAUAUUAAAAGCUUCGGCACUUGAUGAUGGGUGUGCGGCUGAUUAGAUAGUUGGCGGGGUAACGGCCCACCAAGUCUACGAUCAGUAGCUGAUGUGAGAGCAUGAUCAGCCACACGGGCACUGAGACACGGGCCCCGAUCCUACGGGAGGCAGCAGUAAGG